GGUUAAGCGACUAAGCGUACACGGUGGAUGCCCUGGCAGUCAGAGGCGAUGAAGGACGUGCUAAUCUGCGAUAAGCGUCGGUAAGGUGAUAUGAACCGUUAUAACCGGCGAUUUCCGAAUGGGGAAACCCAGUGUGUUUCGACACACUAUCAUUAACUGAAUCCAUAGGUUAAUGAGGCGAACCGGGGGAACUGAAACAUCUAAGUACCCCGAGGAAAAGAAAUCAACCGAGAUUCCCCCAGUAGCGGCGAGCGAACGGGGAGGAGCCCAGAGCCUGAAUCAGUGUGUGUGUUAGUGGAAGCGUCUGGAAAGGCGCGCGAUACAGGGUGACAGCCCCGUACACAAAAAUGCACAUGCUGUGAGCUCGAUGAGUAGGGCGGGACACGUGGUAUCCUGUCUGAAUAUGGGGGGACCAUCCUCCAAGGCUAAAUACUCCUGACUGACCGAUAGUGAACCAGUACCGUGAGGGAAAGGCGAAAAGAACCCCGGCGAGGGGAGUGAAAAAGAACCUGAAACCGUGUACGUACAAGCAGUGGGAGCACAGAGCAAUC
rnacentral:rRNA from 1 species